CCUCUCCAAAACAUAGACUGCGAGUCUCCUUUUUUGGAGAAGAUGGCAUUGAUACGGGCGCCCUCAGCAAGGAAUUUUUCACAGUUUUUGCAAAUUCUUUGCUUUUCAGAGAUGAUUGCUGAAAUUGAAAACAAGCUUUUUGUUGGCGGAGCUGACAAGAAGGGUAAAAAUCCUCUCUACUGCCUUAGUAGCCUUGACCAGAACCACUUCAGGACCGCUGGAGAAAUGAUGGUUGCGAGUGUGGCCCAAGGUGGACCUCCCCCGAAUUUCAUGCGCGAAUGGUGCUACAAGUACCUAACCACACAGACAGACUCUGACAGUAUGCACGUUUCUGUGAGUGACGUCACAGACCCAGAGUUAGUGCAGCUCAUCACGGAGGUCAACAGUGCAACUGAUGACAGCAUUCAUACUCUCAUCGACAGCAUUGUUAACUGUGGCUUUACUGGGAAAAUGUAAUGUGUCAACAAAGAUGCCAUCGUCAGGGCUAUUGUCCUCCACGCUACAACACGCGUGGUUCCAAUGCUGGACCAAUUGAGAAAAGGCAUGGAGCUCUAUAACAUGAAGAAAGUGUUGCAGGCCCAUGCAGACCUGUGUCAGCCUCUUUUUGUCCCAACAGAAGAUGAUGAGGUGGAUGCAGCCUUUCUUCUGGAAAUCUGCCGACCAGUCUACAGUGACCAAGGCUCUAUAAGAUACAGUCGGGAGGUCGCCGUUAUGAACAAUCUCCAAGAUUUCCUCCAAGAGAUCGAGGAUUGUGAUGAUGGCCAACUGACUGUUCCAAAAGUGAUGCAGUGGCUGACGGGACAGGCACACAAGCCGGUCUUACCCAGCGAGAAGAGGAACUUCGAUGUGUCUAUACAAUUCAAGCAUGAUUGUGAUGGACACGCAAUUUGUUUUCCGACAGUGAGUGCCUGCAGUCGCACGGUGACUCUUCCUGUAUUGCACAUGAGCACAAUUCAGCAGUUCAGAAAUAUAAUGGAGAUGGCCUUAACCCACGGAGGCUCCUUUGACCGAGCUUGAUUGUGCAUGUGUGGUGAGGGGGAGGAAAGUUCACGACUAUAUGUAGAGCAAAUCCAUAAUGUUCAUGUUGUAACUUUUUUUCAAAUGUUAUGUAUUUGAAUUUGUUUUAUGUGCGUGUUUGUUCAGAUCAACUGUCACUGUUCAGCUCUACUGUGAUCACUGUACAGAUUCAAGUAAAGAUCACUGUGAAGGCUUUC